rnacentral:rRNA from 1 species
GACGAACGCUGGCGGCGUGCUUAACACAUGCAAGUCGAACGGAAAGGCCCUACUUUUGUGGGUUUCUCGAUUGGCGAACGGGUGAGUAACACGUGAGUAACCUGCCCUUGACUUUCGGAUAACUUCAGGAAACUGGGGCUAAUACCGGAUAUGAUCUCCUGCUGCAUGUUGGGGGUUGGAAAGUGUCGGCGGUUGGGGAUGGACUCGCUGCUUAUCCGCUUGUUUGUGAGGUAGUGGCUUACCAAGGAUUUGACGGAUAGCCGGCCUGAGAGGGUUACCGGCGACAUUGGGACAGGGAUACGGACCAGACGGGUACGGGAAGCAGCAGUGGGGAAUAUUGCAGAACGGGCGGAAGCCAGAUGUAGAGACGCCGGGUGCGGGAUAACGGCCUUUGGGUUGUGAACAGAUGUCGAAGGAGACGAGGAGAGAGUGACGGUAAUGGGUAAAGAAGCAACGGCUAACUACGUG